rnacentral:rRNA from 1 species
AGUGAACGCUGGCGGUAGGCCUAACACAUGCAAGUCGAACGGCAGCACAGUAAGAGCUUGCUCUUACGGGUGGCGAGUGGCGGACGGGUGAGGAAUACAUCGGAAUCUACUUUUUCGUGGGGGAUAACGUAGGGAAACUUACGCUAAUACCGCAUACGACCUACGGGUGAAAGCAGGGGAUCUUCGGACCUUGCGCGAUUGAAUGAGCCGAUGUCGGAUUAGCUAGUUGGCGGGGUAAAGGCCCACCAAGGCGACGAUCUGUAGCUGGUCUGAGAGGAUGAUCAGCCACACUGGAACGGAGACACGGUCCAGACUCCUACGGGAGGCAGCAGUGGGGAAUAUUGGACAAUGGGCGCAAGCCUGAUCCAGCCAUACCGCGUGGGUGAAGAAGGCCUUCGGGUUGUAAAGCCCUUUUGUUGGGAAAGAAAAGCAGCAGGUUAAUACCCCGCUGUUCUGACGGUACCCAAAGAAUAAGCACCGGCUAACUUCGUG